rnacentral:tRNA from 2 species
GGAGACGUGGGUGAGUGGCUGAAACCAGCGGUUUGCUAAACCGCCGUAUGGGUAAAUCCCGUACCGAGGGUUCGAAUCCCUCCGUCUCCGCCA